rnacentral:rRNA from 1 species
UAUCCAGACUCCUACGGGAGGCAGCAGUGGGGAAUAUUGCACAAUGGGGGAAACCCUGAUGCAGCAACGCCGCGUGAGUGAAGAAGUAUUUCGAUAUGUAAAGCUCUAUCAGCAGGGAAGAAGAUGACGGUACCUGAGUAAGAAGCCCCGGCUAACUACGUGCCAGCAGCCGCGGUAAUACGUAGGGGGCAAGCGUUAUCCGGAUUUACUGGGUGUAAAGGGAGCGUAGGUGGCAUGGUAAGCCAGAAGUGAAAGCCCGGGGCUCAACCGCGGGACUGCUUUGGAAACUGUUAAGCUGGAGUGCAGGAGAGGUAAGUGGAAUUCCUAGUGUAGCGGUGAAAUGCGUAGAUAUUAGGAGGAACACCAGUGGCGAAGGCGGCUUACUGGACUGUAACUGACGUUGAGGCUCGAAAGCGUGGGGAGCAAACAGGAUUAGAUACCCCCGUA